rnacentral:rRNA from 1 species
UAGUGAUCCGGUGGUUCUGAAUGGAAGGGCCAUCGCUCAACGGAUAAAAGGUACUCCGGGGAUAACAGGCUGAUACCGCCCAAGAGUUCAUAUCGACGGCGGUGUUUGGCACCUCGAUGUCGGCUCAUCACAUCCUGGGGCUGAAGUAGGUCCCAAGGGUAUGGCUGUUCGCCAUUUAAAGUGGUACGCGAGCUGGGUUUAGAACGUCGUGAGACAGUUCGGUCCCUAUCUGCCGUGGGCGCUGGAGAAUUGAGGGGGGCUGCUCCUAGUACGAGAGGACCGGAGUGGACGCAUCACUGGUGUUCGGGUUGUCAUGCCAAUGGCACUGCCCGGUAGCUAAAUGCGGAAGAGAUAAGUGCUGAAAGCAUCUAAGCACGAAACUUGCCCCGAGAUGAGUUCUCCCUGAGACUUUGAGUCUCCUGAAGGAACGUUGAAGACGACGACGUUGAUAGGUCGGGUGUGUAAGUGUAGCGAUACAUUGAGCUAACC